GCCUGUAGCGGUCACGCCGUGUGCUCGAGCUGUGAGAAGCAAGUGGGACUGAGGAGUGGGCAGGCUGGGUAUUUAUAGACAAGAGGGGGGAUGAGUGUGUGGGCCCCUUGCAAACCCAGGGAGUGUCUAUGGAGGAUUUGCAGGUGAUUUUUAGAUAGUUUUUUUCUCUUUUUCCAGGUAAGUAUUAUAUUUUUUCCGGGUAGGUAUAAGGUGAGUAUUAGGUAGUUGUUUUUUCCUUUUCAGGUAAGUAUUGUGUUUUUUCAGGUAGGAAUUAUUAUGUUAUUAACCAUCAUUUCCCUUUUUGUGUUAUCCCUCAGUUUCCAAUUUACCUGUCCAUUUAUUUUUGUCAUGUCUCCUUUUUUCCUCCUUUCUCUCUUUAAAUCCAAUUGAUAUGGCAGGGGUUAGGUGUGGCUUAGUUUAGCCUGGUAGGGGUUUAGGAGUAUUUGGGGUUAAGGUUAGGUGUCCUGGGGGGUGGUUAGGGUUAGGGAUUCAGUUCAGGUAGUGGUUAGGGUUAGGGGUUAAGGUCAGGGUCAGGGGUCAAUAAGAGGUAGGAGCCUCAGCUGCCUCCUCAUGUGCUACGUUGCUCCCUUGCUCGUUAAAGAUUAUGGACAAAUAGAACAGUGAAAACUUGUCAAAUUAAAAUAGUACAUCUCCAAUUAAUGGUUCAAAGGUCAACUCAUGGUGGGUGGCAGACCCUCUCCAAAGAGCAGGAGGCGCUGGCCGGUUAGGAUAGAGAAAGUGGAUGAGUCUCGGCACCGCGCAGCGGUGUCGAGGCUCCAUGCACGGGCCAUCCUGCUCCAGAUCAGGAAAGCUCUUAUUUGAGGUUGAGGCCUUUGGGGUGUAAUGUUUCUAAUUUUCUUAUCCAUGUCCUUUCAGCUCGGGUUCUCUGUGUGGCGUUCCAGCUGGGGUCCAUCUGGAUGAUCGUGGCCCGGACAGACGACCAUCCAUGGGCCAGAAAAUGGCUGACCAGAGGCGUGUGGGUUUCCCUCCGCCUCUGGAUGUUGUAGCGGUGUUGGGUGAACCGCUGUAAGAGCGUGUUUCUGGUCUCGCCCACAUACUGUAGGCCGCACAUGAGACAUGAAAUAAGAUACACGCAAUUUUUGGAGUGUGGAUUUCCACAUGCCAUAGUCUUAUGGACUGUUUU